UACUGGCUGUUAACUUGUGUUAAAAAUCAAACGCUUGGAACAUGGAACAUGGGAAAGAUUGUAAAAAUAUUUUUAAGGAAAAACCUAAAGCUGGAGGAUGAUGCAUUUGUUUCUCGUUACUAGUUUUGUCAACAAAAGGUAAAUUGGUAAAAUGAAACAACAAAUGACCUAUUGCUUUAGAUCAAUUGUUUUCACAAAUGAAGAUUUAUUCCACAGUCUUCAGCUUCACAGGCAGACACCCAUCCACAAAACCAUUGGGUGGUAGAUGAUAUAAAAAUUUAUUAAUAAAAAAAAUUUAUACUUUAGGUUAUUUAUCACAGAGUCAGAGAACAACAUGUGGAAUCUGAUAUUCUAGCCCUGGAAACUGCAGGUGCCUUUCUGCUUCAACAAGGCUAUAAAGCAUUUAUAAUUUCAGGAGAAUCAUAGAAGUGUAUUCAAAUGUUCAGGGUUGAAUCGGUGAAAUGGUUGAGCCAAAAAAGAACUUCAUAUUACUUUUGAACACGUCCUAACUCAGUGUACGCGGUUGAUGCCCCACUAUACGACCCAGCAAGCUUUAGGCUGCGGUCUUCCAGUGCUGGGAAUUUGUUAUGGCAAGCAAAUACUCAACAAGGAGUUAGGUGGAACGGUGGAGAGAAAAGAUGUUCGCGAUGGGCAAUUCAAGAUCCAAGUAGAAACGGAGUGCCCAUUGUUUAAAGGCUUAGAGACUCGGUAAAUGGUAUUACUGACCUAUGGUGCCAGCGUAGACAAGGUUGCAGAAGGGUUGCGUUGCGUCGCAAAAUCUUCGCGUCAUAUUAUUUCCGCUAUUGCUGAUAUUACUGAGUCCAGUUCCAUGAUUUGACUGAAAACGGACGAAAAAUGUUGCAUAACUUCUUAUUCGAUAUCUGUGGACUCACAUUGGGGAAACGCCCUUUAAAUUAUUAUUACAAGUGUGAACAAGUUA
rnacentral:lncRNA from 1 species